ensembl:lncRNA
AAGCCUAUUACUUGUGCGACUGUGCCCAGUCUCAACAAUAACUCAGGAGCCCAAUGACAACCCCAUUGCCUUUCUGGAAAGGCUAAAAGAGGCCCUCCAAAAGUUUACCAAUCUGGACUUAGACUCUUAUGAGGGACAGGUGAUUUUAAAGGACAAAUUCUUGUCCCAAUGUGCAUCAGAUAUCAGAAUUAAGUUACAACAGCUACAGCAGCAGUACUCUACUGCCUUUUUAGAUGAGAUGAUCCAGACAGCCACCAAUUCCUUUUAUAACAGAACAGGAGAAGGAGGCCAAGGCCCAAGAGAGGGAGAGAAAAAAAGAGACAAGCCAUGCCUAGAUGCUGGCCGCCCUCCAGAGAAGCCCUAUGGCAAACCCCCAAGUCCUUGAAGGACAAGGCAAAUGCCUAAUCUGUAGACAGGCGGGGCAUUGGGCCAAAGAGUGUCCAAACUGUGACAAGUCUCCUAGUCUCUUGCCACAAAUGCCAUCAACUGGGACACUGGGCGGCACUCUGCCCUUGGGACCCAAGAGUCUCAAGGUCAAAUGCUAAGCCUUCCCUAACGAUGGUUCAAGAGGACUGAAGAUGGUUCAAGAGGCCCACUCCAGCCAGUCUGCCGGUCACAGAUAACCAUCACGGGGCUGGAGCCAAGGGUGCAACUGGAUGUGGCAGAAACCUUGGACCACUGGACAAAACCCCGAGAGGGAUUGUCAGAAGAUCCUCUGACCAAUCCUGAGGAAAUCUGGUACACUGAUGGAAGCAGCUUUGUCUUGGAUGGAAAAAGAAGAGCCAGUCAAGGUACCAGGACAUGACUCCUGGAUUCACUGCUCAUGAGUCAAGCCAUGGAAGAAAACAGGACACUCAAUACACCUGUCAACAAUUAUAACAUGCAGCGCCAGUUCAACAAAGGAACAUGGAGCUGGUCUUACCCAAAUUAAACCAGUCAAGACCAUGGAUUGAGUGACUGUUCGAUAGAUGAACUUUUGACAUCAGAGGGCCAAAAACGUCACCCUCAGAUCAUGUUGCUGCUGCUGCUGCUGCUGCUGCUGCUGCUAAGUCGCUUCAGUCGUGUUCGACUCUGUGCGACCCCAGAGACAGCAGCCACUAGGCUCCUCCGUCCCUGGGAUUCUCCAGGCAAGAAUACUGGAGUGGGUUGCCAUUUCCUUCUCCAAUGCAUGAAAGUGAAAAGUGAAAGUGAAGUCGUUUAGUCGUGUCCGACUCCUAGUGACCCCAUGGACUGCAGCCUACCAGGCUCCUCCGUCCAUGGGGUUUUCCAGGCAAGAGUACUGGGGUGGGGUGCCAUUGCCUUCUCUGCAGAUCAGGUUAAUGACACCAUUUUCUGAACAUACAUCCCAUGAAGCAGCAUGUAACUCAGAUACAUCUGUGCAGAACCCCAAUUACUUUACCUUUUUCUUCAGUCAUUUUUCCCUACACCUCAGACCACCCUGCUUCCUUAUCCCACAAGUAUCUUGAGCCCCUCACCUUCAUGAAAGUGGAUUUAAGACUUGUUCUCUUGUCUCUGUGCUUGGCUGCCUUGUGUAUAAACCCUUUCUCUGCUGCAUACCUUGGCGUCUCAGGAUUUGGCUUACUGUGAGUCAGGCAAAUGAACCUGGUAUGGUAAUAUAAGGGAUGGACAUAUCAGCUAGGAUUAGAAUCAGCUGCAUGUAACAAAAACUGAAACAACAGUGGCUUAAAUAAGAAGUUUAUUAAAUUGUUCAAGAAGUCUGAAUUAGUGUGACAGCUUCACCAGUACUCUAGACCUUCCAGCUGUCUUUCUGCUCUGCCAUUCUCAGGAGCAUGGCUCCAUCCUCAAUGAUGCAAGCCUGAGAUGGCUGCCAGCAGUUGUGCAAUCCCAUCCAGGUUCCAGGCAGGAAGAAGGGACAAAAGGGGAAGUUCUAGCUGAGUCAGCUCUUCCCAGAAGUCCCACUCAACUCACUUUUACUUGAUCCACUGACCACACCUAGGCAAGUGGGACAGUGUAGCCUUUUAUAGGUCCAUUACCACUCUAAAAAAUAAGGUUCUGUUACUAACAGUGAAGAGGAAAAUGUGUAUCAAGUAGGCAAACCGUAGUUUCUUCCAGAGUGGACAAAAAGAAACCUACAAAUGAAGUUAAGAAAGAAUGGUCAGUGUAAUAGGAGAGGAACCAAAAGUAGGGAGCCUGUGGCUGUGGCCUGACUCAGUUUCAUUACUGGUAAUUGGUCUGCUCAUAUUUUCUAUCCAUAUUUCCUCUUGACUCAGUCUUGGAAAUUUGUGUGUUUCUAGCAGUUUAUCCAUUUCUUCUCCAUUGUCCAUUUUGUUGGUGUAUAGUUCACAGUAAUCUCUUAACGAUCCUUUGUAUUUCUGUGCUGUCAGUUGAAAGAGGCUUCAUCUUUCAUUCUUGAUGUUAUUUGGGCCCUCUCUUUUACUUGAUGAGUCUGGCUACAGGUUUAUCGAGUUUGCUUAUCUUUUCAAAGGACCAACUCUUAGUUUCAUUUCUUUCUUUUUAAAAAUUUUUUUGACUGCGCUGGGUUCUGGUUGUUGCAUGUGGGCUUUCUCUAGUUGCAGCCAGCCAGGCUACUUUUUCUUGCGGUGCUUGGGCUUCUUAUCGCAGGGACUUCUCUCAUUGUGGCACACAGGCUUAGUUGCUCCGUGGCAUGUGGAAUCUUCUUGGACCAGGUAAUCAAACCUGUGUCCCCUGCAUUGGCACGUGGAUUCUUAUCCACUGUACCACCAGGGAGGUCCUCUUUUCUUUCCUUUAGUCUCUAUUUCAUUAUUUCUGCUCUGAUCUUAGUAUUCUUUCCUUCUACUAACUUUGUGUGUGCUUAAUCAUGUCUCUUUGCAACUCUUUGGACUGUAGCCCGCGAGGCUCUUCUGUCCAUGGGGUUUUUCAGGCAAGAAUAUUGCAGUGGGUUGCCAUUCCUUCUCCAGGGGAUCUUCCUGACCCAGGGAUCGAAACUUUGUCUCCUGUGUCUCCUGCAUUGCAGGAGGAUUUUUUACCUGAUGAGCCAUGAGAGAAGCCCAGUUUUGGGUCUUGUUUGUUUUCCUUUCUCUAGUUCCUUUUGGUGUAAAUUUAGGUUAUUUGUAAGCAUUGGUUCUUUAACUAUUUUUCCUCCCUUAAUAUUAUUAUGUGCAUACCGAAAAAUUUAGUCUCUUAACCUUGUCUGAUUUAGAAAGUUAAAAAUCUAUCUGAUAGAUCCCUUCUCAGUCUCUAACCUGUGUACAUAGCACACAGUGUUUGCAUGUUUGUUUGACUAGCAUGCUGAUAAUAAAAAAAAUUAUUUAUGUACUUUAUUCAUUUAUUUUUGGCUACAUUGGGUCUUUUUUGCUGCACAUGGGC